rnacentral:rRNA from 1 species
GAAUUCAGACAAACUCCGAAUGCCAAUUAAUUUAACUUGGGAGUCAGAACAUGGGUGAUAAGGUCCGUGUUCGAAAGGGAAACAGCCCAGACCACCAGCUAAGGUCCCAAAAUAUAUGUUAAGUGGAAAAGGAUGUGGCGUUGCCCAGACAACUAGGAUGUUGGCUUAGAAGCAGCCAUCAUUUAAAGAGUGCGUAAUAGCUCACUAGUCGAGUGACACUGCGCCGAAAAUGUACCGGGGCUAAACAUAUUACCGAAGCUGUGGAUUGUCCUUUGGACAAUGGUAGGAGAGCGUUCUAAGGGCGGUGAAGCAUGAUCGCAAGGACAUGUGGAGCGCUUAGAAGUGAGAAUGCCGGUGUGAGUAGCGAAAGACGGGUGAGAAUCCCGUCCACCGAUUGACUAAGGUUUCCAGAGGAAGGCUCGUCCGCUCUGGGUUAGUCGGGUCCUAAGCUGAGGCCGACAGGCGUAGGCGAUGGAUAACAGGUUGAUAUUCCUGUACCACCUAUAAUCGUUUUAAUCGAUGGGGGGACGCAGUAGGAUAGGCGAAGCGUGCGAUUGGAUUGCACGUCUAAGCAGUAAGGCUGAGUACUAGGCAAAUCCGGUACUCGUGAAGGCUGAGCUGUGAUGGGGAGAAGACAUUGUGUCUUCGAGUCGUUGAUUUCACACUGCCGAGAAAAGCCUCUAGAUAGAAAAUAGGUGCCCGUACCGCAAACCGACACAGGUAGUCAAGAUGAGAAUUCUAAGGUGAGCGAGCGAACUCUCGUUAAGGAACUCGGCAAAAUGACCCCGUAACUUCGGGAGAAGGGGUGCUCUUUAGGGUUAACGCCCAGAAGAGCCGCAGUGAAUAGGCCCAAGCGACUGUUUAUCAAAAACACAGGUCUCUGCUAAACCGUAAGGUGAUGUAUAGGGGCUGACGCCUGCCCGGUGCUGGAAGGUUAAGAGGAGUGGUUAGCUUCUGCGAAGCUACGAAUCGAAGCCCCAGUAAACGGCGGCCGUAACUAUAACGGUCCUAAGGUAGCGAAAUUCCUUGUCGGGUAAGUUCCGACCCGCACGAAAGGCGUAACGAUUUGGGCACUGUCUCAACGAGAGACUCGGUGAAAUCAUAGUACCUGUGAAGAUGCAGGUUACCCGCGACAGGACGGAAAGACCCCGUGGAGCUUUACUGUAGCCUGAUAUUGAAAUUCGGCACAGCUUGUACAGGAUAGGUAGGAGCCUUUGAAACGUGAGCGCUAGCUUACGUGGAGGCGCUGGUGGGAUACUACCCUAGCUGUGUUGGCUUUCUAACCCGCACCACUUAUCGUGGUGGGAGACAGUGUCAGGCGGGCAGUUUGACUGGGGCGGUCGCCUCCUAAAAGGUAACGGAGGCGCUCAAAGGUUCCCUCAGAAUGGUUGGAAAUCAUUCAUAGAGUGUAAAGGCAUAAGGGAGCUUGACUGCGAGACCUACAAGUCGAGCAGGGUCGAAAGACGGACUUAGUGAUCCGGUGGUUCCGCAUGGAAGGGCCAUCGCUCAACGGAUAAAAGCUACCCCGGGGAUAACAGGCUUAUCUCCCCCAAGAGUUCACAUCGACGGGGAGGUUUGGCACCUCGAUGUCGGCUCAUCGCAUCCUGGGGCUGUAGUCGGUCCCAAGGGUUGGGCUGUUCGCCCAUUAAAGCGGUACGCGAGCUGGGUUCAGAACGUCGUGAGACAGUUCGGUCCCUAUCCGUCGUGGGCGUAGGAAAUUUGAGAGGAGCUGUCCUUAGUACGAGAGGACCGGGAUGGACAUACCUCUGGUGUACCAGUUGUCGUGCCAACGGCAUAGCUGGGUAGCUAUGUAUGGACGGGAUAAGUGCUGAAAGCAUCUAAGCAUGAAGCCCCCCUCAAGAUGAGAUUUCCCAACUUCGGUUAUAAGAUCCCUCAAAGAUGAUGAGGUUAAUAGGUUCGAGGUGGAAGCAUGGUGACAUGUGGAGCUGACGAAUACUAAUCGAUCGAAGACUUAAUCAA